rnacentral:rRNA from 1 species
UACGGAGGGUGCAAACGUUGCUCGGAAUCAUUGGGCGUAAAGCGCACGUAGGCGGCUCGUUAAGUCGGAUGUGAAAGCCCUGGUCUCAACCCAGGAAGUGCAUACGAAACUGGCGAGCUUGAGUAUGGAAGAGGGUCGCGGAAUUCCCGGUGUAGAGGUGAAAUUCGUAGAUAUCGGGAGGAACACCAGUGGCGAAGGCGGCGACCUGGGCCAAUACUGACGCUGAGGUGCGAAAGCGUGGGGAGCGAACAGG